UUGAGUUUUGUAAUCUGUCCACAAAAACUCAAAAUCAAUAUCCAACUUCAGUGAUAGAAUCACCUCAAGAUGGGUGAGCAAGUGCGAGAGAGAGAGAGAAGCUCUAGCACUUAGUUACCAACAAUGAGCAAUCUGAUGGUAUUGGUAACCUGCCAAUUAUUAUUUUUCUAGUGAUCCCGAUGACAUUCCCAAAUUCAUCCAAUGAUUCCGAACAAAGAGAAUGGGGCCCAAAGUAAUGGCGACAAACAGUUGGCACUUAGGAUUCAAAUGCUAAACCAGUCACUAUGCAAUAGUGAAAUUCAGGUACAUGCCAAUAGAUGUGGAGGCACCAUGAUAAUAAGUAUACUAACAAGAAUGCAAAAGAGCAGUAACAUCUCCAAUGAAGUAUAUGGCAUGUAAACACUAAAUAACCUCAAUGACAGUCCCAGGCAUGGAUGAGAAAGGUUAAAGGUGGAGACUAGGUUGAAAGCUGGCCGUAAAAAAGGAUGAUCAAGCUAUGUAAAGUUCCAUAUUGGCUCACAUUGUCCGGUAAUAAAGAUAUUUGGGGCAAACAAGGUGAACAUAAGAAAAUUGAGAUGGAAAUGAGGCAAGAACUGCAUAGUAGAGGAGGCAUAGAAUUGCACCAAUUGAGGGCAACUAAUUGAAGAACCAGUUGAGAUGAUGAGCAUGUUCACUGAAAUUAAAGGAGUCCCUAGUCAGAAGAGGUGCUCAAGUUUAUAUUUAAGCAUUGUGGAAACAGUGGGGAAGACCUAAGCUGGCAUGAUGCGGGAAAAAAAACUUGCAAUACCAACCAAAGUAGUCAUUAAUGAGAAAAAUUGGCAAAUAAGAACAGGAUAUACCAAAAAGUUGGGACAAGACCUGCUGGUGAUAUUUACAUCUUGCAUUCACUGGCAAAAAAAAUAUUAUUGCAAAAACAAGAAGUAAGAGCCAAAAAAGACUAGGAUAAGAUAAUAUAGACAGGAGGUAUGUGUUGCAGAAUAGGUAUUACCCAACUCAGUUUUUUUGGAAGGGUAUUUUAUCUCUCCAUAUAGCAAUAGGUAACAGUAGAAAGUUGAUAAAACUACUGCUUUUGUUUCUUUUCUCCAUCCACUAGAAAUUGAGAGUAGGUAAAUGAGAAUAGUUCCAUAUUUAUGGUUCCUUUCCUAGAAGUAAAAGUGAACCGGAUGAUAUCUGUCAGGACCUGUUUCUGCAUCCAAAUACUUUCAGAUAUGGAUAUAAAUUUGAGUAUUCGACUAAUAUUUGUAUCCGUAUCCGUAUCCAUCAAAGAAAAACAAAUAUGGAUAUGUAUAGACAACCAUCCGAUCCAUAUCCGAAUGUGCAGUUUUAUUUGUAAUCCUAUUCAGUCUACAAUUCUCGUCAACUUGAAAAGAAAAUAAGUAAUAAUAUUAACAUCUCUUUAACAUAAUUUACCUUUUAUACUAAUAUCUUUGAUUUGAUGGUUCACAAAGUUUAACUAUUUGAUUUAUAUUCAUAUUUAUAUUCGUAUUGUCAAUAUCUGGUUUUUAUCCAUAUCCUUUUCAAACAAGAUUUUAACAUUCAAUUAAUAUCCAUAUCCAUAUUUGUAUUCGUCAAAUAAAAAUGGAUAUGGAUAUGAAUAUACUAAUAUCCGAUCCAUAUCUGCUCCAUUUACAGCCCUGUUGAUUCUUUGUAAAAUAUUAAAAAAAAAAGAAUAGAACCUUCUUUUUUAGAUCUGAUACUCCAUAUUUAUUACAAAAUCAAACCAAAUAUCAAGCAGAUACAAAUGUAAAAUGAGAAACCUUUUAGUCAGAUUCUUAUCCAGUAUAAUCCAUACAUUUUCUUAAUACAAAAAGUGUUAUUCCCAUAAAGUUGGAGGCAGAUCAGAGACUCGGAGUAACUCUACCAAACAACAACCUAAAAGAUGACCUGCUCCAUCUCGAUUGACUAAAACUCGUUUAACCAUCAAAGGGUAGGUCAAUCUCUAUUGUUACCAUAAGUGAUUUUUGCAGUUGAGAACGGGGAGAUCUAUCAGUGAUAGAUCUUUUUUUCUGCUUAAGAAUUCCCACAUAUAGUGGUCAACACCUCCCUCAUCAGUCCUCUUCCCUAGGCUCCCAAUACAAUUAAAAUCAUGUGGAGUCACAUAUAUGUUGACACUGACAUUUCAUUCUCACCAUUAAAAUAGUGAGCAUGAAAGUAGCAACUAUAGUUUGCCUGACACUAACCAAUGCUGGGAAAAACAUAUAGGAAUACUGCAUUCGCUACAUAAAACACCCCUGCUACCCUCUUAUCCUCGAGUGUCUAAAAUAUAUUCUAUAGUUGCAAUUCCCAACCAAUUGUCCAUGACUGGAUGAAUUUAUUGUUACAUAUGUCAUCUUAAAAAAAGUUUUGAAUUUUAAGAAUAUUUUAGGAAUACCCAACUGUCAAUUUUUUUCAUAAAAUACCUUGAACUCCAUGAAGCAAUCCCAAGUUCCUAUACCAGCAAGUCCCCUGACUCAAUCCAUUACCUUCCUAAUAGGCCCCCAAAUCUCCAAACAUUCCCACCUGAAAUCUCUCUCUCUCUCUCUCUCUCUCUCUCUUGCUCAAACACACAAGACAUGCAUGCAAACUAGAAAUUGAAGCUUUUCUCACCCUCUUUUCAUCAAUACAUUUUUUCCCUCCAAGCCCACUUACCUAUAGUCCCUCUCUCACCCUCAUUCCUCCCAAUACUUUUCUUUUCCAACUUGUCCUUUAACUUCUAUUAAUACAUUAUUCUUAUAAUCUUCUAUUGAUUACCUCCAAUCAAGGUUUCAAAUCUCGGUAUCCGACACAGUGCUGGUAGAUUACGAGUAUGGAUCGGGUUGGUAUGGCACACCCUUGUACCAUGUUAGAGGCAAGACAAUAGUUGUACCAUAUGCCUAUACAGCACCGCCAAAAGCCUGUGAAUUGUUCCGAUACCUUAUUAGGUGCAUCUGGUAGCAUGUUACUAAGCAAUAUGUAUAGACCGGUACAAAAAAUUAUUCCUCCAGUUACGGUGACUUAAUUAAUCAUGGAGUAAAUGCUCCAUUGUAACAUGAAACUUCUUGAAUGAAACCCUCUACAAAUUUUUGCCCCAUUAUCCAACAUGCCAUGUUUCUCUGUCCCUCUUUUCAGUUUUUUUGUAAAAAUUUCCCAUUAUGAUUUUCUAUUGAUAUUAUUUAGUUACAUUUUUUAUAUUAUCUACUCUGUUUUAUUUUUUUCAGUUUCCUAUUUUGUAUUUUCUAUUUUAUGUUGCCUUUUUUCUAGAAUUCCUUUUUGUUUCAUAUGUUUUAAUUUUCUUUAGUUUAAUUUUAGUACUUUCCAGUUUAUAUUUUUUUAUUGUUUAUUUUCAGUUAAUCUGUUGUUGAUCUUGGAUUUUGUAUUCUCAUUUUUUCUUUAUUUAUUAUUUUUUCUACUUUUCUUGUUUUCUUUAUUUUAUACUGAGUUUUGUGAAUUCGACAUAUUUCAUUUUGUUUUGUUUUCAUUUUAUAGUAAUUUAAUUCUUCUUUUUUUAAUUCUUAAACAUGCAUUGCAUAUGCCCUUUUGCUAGUAAUCAUGGAGAACCAAGCAUGAUGUUGAAACAGAGUACAAAAUCAUACCAUGUAUAAAUUUCUCCUAUUUCUUCAUGUUUAUUGAGAAAAGAGAAAAUAGUAAAAAAUCAUUUAAUUUUCUGAAUAACCCAUGUUUAAAUCCAAAAAAAAACUUUGUCUAAGAAACUUAAAUUACAGAAAUCUAAUGCUUUAAUCCAAAACUCCGACCUUGUUUUUCACCUCAAUGUUACCAUAAAAGGCAGAAAAGGACUACAUAUUUAAUGUUUUUCAAGAAAUGCAUUUGACCACAAAUCAUAAUCUCUAUGCUCAAAUGCCCGAGAUGAAGAGAUCCUGAAGUUUCAUAUUCAAGAUAUUAGCAUGGGUAUAUGGACUACAAAAGAGAUUAAGCUUUAGGGGCAUGAUAGUAUUCAGCUUUUUUCUUUCCAUAAAUUAUGUUCCAAGGUUCGCCAUCUUAGUACUAAAACCUGUACCGGUACCAUUCUAUUAUAGUGUCGAUAUGCUUAGUAUGGGAGCCGAUUCGGCAUACUGAGUGUUAGCUUACUCUUUGUACCACGUAUUAAUUCGGUACCAGUACGGUACGAUCGGUACACACCGAUAUCGAUCGGUAUGGCAAACCUUGCUAUGUACUAUUUUUUUGUAUUGACAUCUUGGAAAUCUAACUCCUUUCAUUCCCAUGAGGAAAAUAGUACGUACCUGAGGCCUAUAAUUUUUUAGCUAUGAAUCAUUAAAAGAAAACUUCUGAAUUUUACACAAUCAGCCAAUUUAACUUGUAGAAGAAUUUGUCAAGAGUCAUGGAGAAGCUUUUACCAUCAUCUUGCCUCCUUAAGGCAAUAUUGAUGUUCAUAACUUUGUAUUACCUUAAAUGCUCCUUCCCUACACUUUGUCAAGCAUCUAAGUCUUAUUUUUAGGUAACGUUCAUAAAAACCACCUUAAGGUGUCAUGGACAUACUUAACACAUAUCUACAUCUACUAUAUUACAGUGAGAAAUCUUGGAGAGACUCUAAAAUGUGAAGUCUCACCAAGGAUGUAGGGCAUGUGUUCUAAAUAUGCAAGAGAAAAACCAACCAGAGCCUCUCCAUUAUAUCUCUUUUUUUUCUUUGGAUUUUACCAUGAGUCACAAUUUUCUUUCCAUUCGUAAAAUCCUAACUCUUCCUAGGCAUCUCAACCGACUCAAUCUUUAUCUCUUAAUAAAUUCAGACUUUCAAGAGUAGAAAGAAUCUUAAGGAGUUUUGGAAAGAAAGAUGAUAAACAUAUUGUAACAAUCCAUACCUCUAAGAUUUUUCAAUGAAUGUGCUCUCACAUGCAAAGCACAUGCCAAAGACUAAUGAUAGAAGAUUGCAGCUUCCCAAAAGCAUGGUACAAGAAGGUGCAAGGGCAUCACAACUUGAUCAAGUUCCUGACUUGAUUGAUGGUGCAUCUUGGCUUUUCUUGGCAUGGGUACCUAUUGUUCAUGCUUAUAGCUACCAAAAUGAACUAACAUGGAGCAUUACUUAUGGUUUUCUUCCUUAUAAAGAUCUCCUUUUGUUAUUACCUACCGUUUGUAAGGAUACCUUUGUUCUAUGCAACAAUAGGAAAGAUUGAGUUGUUAAUCCAAAAAUGAUCCUGUAUUGCAUGAACUAGACUUGGGGCUAAAUCUAGUCACUAGAGAACUACAAAGCUAGGCUUUGGUUGAAUGAUGGAAAAGUAGAGUAUUGGAGAUUGUUUUAAGUAAAGAUUUAAAGUCUUGGUAUUUGUACCAAUACUAGCUGACUCGUAUGGCACAGUAUUGUAUGGAUACAUGAUACAUCUACUAGGGCCGACACAAAAAAAAUAAGUUACCAUUCAUCAGCACGAUACCUUAUUGACGGGGUGUGCUAGAAUCAAUACAGCAGUACAGCACAAUUGGUAUGGACUAUUAAAAGGCCCCUAAUAUAUAAUGGAUCUUGAAUCACUAUUCUUGCAUCUCCAAGACCAAAGCCUCCUGCAUUGGGAUUGCUUUGCCAUGGCUGAUCAAGCUUGAUGGAUUCACCCUCUGAAACAAGAAGUUCUGGUCUUGGAGGUAUAAUAUUAACUACUUGAUGUCCAUCCAAUGCAUUAACUACCAUUGUUCCAUAUUUGUCAUUUUACUCCAAGACAUGGUUCUAAAAAACAGCAGCAUUGGCUAAUGGCUAUAGUUGUAAGUGAACAAAGCCAAGGCAAGUAGUAGUCUUCUUAAGCCAGGCUCACUAUAUAAAAGGGCUGAUCAAGCUUCAGUGAAACUUAAUCAAAUGGGGUCCAAGCUUGGCCCAUUAUGAAGCAAGCUCCUUACCAAGUCAUACCAGGCUCCUACAUAUGUUUCUGAGUCAUUAGUACUCAGGAUUAACUCAUUUAUGAGCCCAGCUUUCAUUACUAUUUGAGCUCAACUUGUUUCCUAGCUUAGCAAGCUCAAGUAAGCUACUACAAGCUAAUUCUGAAAAACUCAUGAACCGUUUGGUCAUUUGUGACCCUAGCCUUGGCUACCUAGAUAGGGCCACAUAGGCACACCUUAAUAUCAUGAAUCAUGUUUGAGUGUAAUAGGUCUGAUCAAUUUGUAUGUAGCGUAUAGUCUAAAACAAAGGAAUCAUGCAACAAAAACUGGAAGCAAGUCUAAAAAGUAUCUCAAGAAUCUCAUUUCCCUAUCUUUGUAUCAAAUCCAAGUUUUCCCUAUAUGUAUCAGUUUUUGAUGCUCUUUAUUUCUUUUUCGAGUUUAAAAAAAAACGGAGAUAGAUGAUAAAUUUAACUCAUAAUAGAGUUAUAAUUUAUAACUAUAACUACAAGCAUGUGAUUAGAUAACCACUUUAAAAAAAUUUAAAAUGCCCAAAUUCAAUGUACUCAUCAGGCCUACUAAAAUUGAAAUAUAAUGAAUUUGCAAACAAAUGAAGCUUAAGAAGUUACAUUAACAUAUAUUCGCUGAUAUUUUAAGUCUUGUUACUAGCCCUGUGCUGAUAUCUUUCCAUUGCGGUAGAGUAGGCCCUCGUACCAACACAUGGUACACUAUUGGAGCUAGAAAAAAAUAGUACCACAUACUGGUACGGGGGCAUAUCAAAUCCUGUACUGGCACUACUACCCUAACUGCUACCCUACUAGGUUAGUACGGUACACCUCCCUACUGAGUCAAUACGGUACAUCUUGUACCACCUAGUGCAAUAUAAUAUUGUACGUAAAACAUUGAUACUCAGUAUUACAUACCAAUGAAUUUAAUUGCACCUAUAUGCUAAGUUUAGCCUAAAAUUAACAAAACUACACAAAUAAAGAACCUACAGAAUGUCCAACCAAUAAAAAAGAACCCAUAUAACACAAUAAUCUAAAAUGUGUAAUAAUAUUUCUUAGAUUUUUUCCUUAAACUUUUCCUUUUUUUGAAUUCCCUUUUUUUUGACCAAAAACUCCAAUCUUCGAGCGAAACUUCUGAAAUUGCCAAAACUAAAACUCCAUAAACUUGGUCAAAAUCAAAACAAACCUUGAUCCUAGGUAAUUUGCACCAAGUGGUUCUCCCUCCCUUUCUCUUAAAAGUGAUAAUAAAAGUAAUGGCAUGCCAAAAACAUUUGCUGCAGGUUUCGAUAUGGCGAACUAGCAAAAUACAUACUUUGACUUACAAAAUUAUAAAAGUAAUGGCAUGCCCAUUUUCUUAAAAAGGCAAAGCCAAAGGUGAGCAUUUAAUUUGCCCAUGAAGCUCCAACAUAAAAUGCCAACAUAUAAGGCAAGGCAUAAGCUUCAUAGAUUGUUUUGUUUUCAAAUGGAAAUAGUUAGAAAGUUAUAAUAAAGUGGGAAGAAAAUCAACAAAAAAAAAUGUUUCAUGUUUGGUUGUAGUAUUGAAUAAAGUAACAAGCAAUAUCACAAAGACUUCAAACAUGCAGAGAUCUUGAAGCAAUUAUAUUUCAAAUUUCCUUGAUUUGGUUUUGAAAUUUUGUCUUCAAUGAUAGUGAAAACUGCAAAGCUUCAAUCUGGAAUAGCGCAGCCCUUCAAAGUAAAAUUUGUUAUUUAGCUCCAUACACAACAUCAUGCAAAAAUAUAUAAGAAACCCAUCAUGUAUGGUGUGCUACAACAAUAAAUCUAUAUAUGCCAUGUAUAUGCUUCACUCUGUAAUACAUGCCCUGUAUAUGCUUCACUCUAUAAUACAUGCCCAAAGUAUUUUCAAGAACGUUCCCUCAAGGCAUGAUGUAACAACAAGGAGCCACGCUCAAAAAGAUUAGCCAAAAUGUAUUAUUUAGGUUCCUUGACAAUGUAUAAGUAUCCAAUCUCCUAGUGCGCAACCGAUGUGAGACUAAACACAAAGCCGCACUGUUCUCACAAACUCCCCCAUUUAAGCCUUGGCAUCGUCGACAGGAUAAGGUGCUCCUGUAUUGUUUGUCAAAAAGAAAGAAAUGGAAUGUUUAGAGUUGCACAAGUGAUUAAUCAAUAGCACAAUACAAAGCCAAAUUUGCUGAAUUGGCAAGGUUUGCCCAACAUAUGCUUGUUGAUGAGACAAGAAAGGUAAAGAAAUUUGAGAGGUUUGACACCAACCAUCCAAAGUAGAAUAUUUGCCCUAAAGUUGCGAACAUAUGCUGAGGCAGUGGAUUGGCCCUUUUGACCUUCUAGCUAGUCUUUUUAUGUGAGCCUCUAGGUCAUUAGAAAUGGUAUGUAGACCUAGCCUGCUGCCCAGAUGAACUAUGGGACACUACAGCACAAGACCUUCUAGGGUUGACCACGAGCUGUUCGUGGUGCUUGUGAUUAAAUUUAGACUCUUAGCCUGACUGGAAUGCCAGAGCUUAAAUGAGCAGUGGGAAUAUGAGAAACCUGUACAAACAUAUAUUUAGUCUCAUAUUGAUUGUAUGCUAGAGAAAUCUUAGGUACUUAUACAUGGCCAAACAAUCCAAACAAUAAAUAAUCCAAAUAAUACCUUCUAGCUAGCUUCUUGGGUGAGGUCCUAAGUUGUCGCACAUCAGGUGAGGCAUACUUUAUAGAGGCCAUUUAAACAAUUAGUAGACCAAAACUAACCAUUCCAUGCAUCAAUUUUGUUUCUUAGAUAGAAAGUUUAGGCCACUUUUUCUUUUUUCCUUUCUACUAUGGCUGAAAGACAUGUUUUAUUUUACUUUUUGAGACAUUAAGACUUUGUUAUAAACUCUCUUCCCAUUUUAAAAACACCCCCUACUAUUUCGGAUGUUCUAGUAGCAACUUGUAUAUAAGACACCUAAAAGUCUGCAUCCCUUAUUGUUUGGAGAUUGCAAAUUACACUUUUAUAGUUUUAAUGAGAACAAACUAACAUUUGAGCCUCCUCAAAAAACACUUCUAGGAUAAGAUCACUCUUGAGGUACCAAGUUAAGUGUUCAUUAAAAACCUAGAAAGAUAAUCACUUUGAAUUAGUAGCUCUGCCCCUUCAUUAAAUUAGAUUCUGAAAAAUAAAAUUAAGUACAGAUUUACAUUGUAGAUUCAGUAAUUUGCGGUUUUGCAAUCAGUCCUCAUAAAACAACUUAAUGUCCCCACUAAGUAUAUAAUUUUCUAUAUUUGUGCAGCACAGUAGUCAUAGCUAUAGAGAUGAAACUAUAAUAUCUGUAUUGGAAUGUUUGCAUGUAUAUAAAACUUCUCACAUGACAAAGAUGAAUGCCUACAUCAUUCAUAAGUUCAUGAAGAUGAAUUUAAAGUCAAGAAAAAGGAACCAAAGAGUCUGUAAUAAUCUCCUUAACAAUAUAGACUUUCUAGUUUCAAAAAAAAAGGUAGCAUAUAUACUCCUGGAAUAAGUCAUUUCAAGAACAAACACGUCAUUCCAUUUGUACAACAAUAAGAAUCACAGUGGCACAGAACGAUGCAAGCUUGUGAAAGAUAGUUGCAUAACCUGUUUCUUUGGAACUUGUACCUUUUUCGAUGGCCUUACAAGUAAAAUUUACAUGCUCUGAACAAUUAAAUCACACUAUAGACCCCUGUAAACAAACAGUGGACUAUAAGCAUGCUAAAGCAAGCAUUAAUAUUUUCCAUAUAAUAUAUGUUAAUGAUGUGCGCGCUUCAAAAUAUUUGCAACUUUGGAACAUGAACUAACAAUGAUAUUCACUAUUAAAUAAAAUUUACAUGUAUGAUUUUUCCCCCAAGAUAACUAAACAUGUAUUUACCAACUAUGUUUGUCUGUAUCACUAUCAUAGUAUGGCAGGUAACAAGCUGCAAUCCAGAAUAUAAUACAUAUUUCUGAAGGUGUGGGCAAUGUAGCACUCUGGCUUGCCAAACACUGGUGAAUUUUCAACAAAAAAACAAAAACAGUAAUGUAGGACAAUUGUUGCCACAUUUUGUAAACAUUUAUGAGUUAUACAAGAAAACAGUUAUUCAUGCUGCAUCAAAAUGCCAAUUGGAAUAAUUAAUUUAUUAUGAGUAUAUAAAAUAGUUUAGCAGUCAUACUUUUGCAUCAAUAGGACUGCUGAACAUGGUCUUAUUGGACAUAUGAAUAGAAAAAGAAAUAACAAGAUGAAAUCUAUCCUCUAAUAGCUCACAUAAUAUGGCUCCCACAGUUGUGACCUGGAAAUCAUGUUUGGGACUAACAGAAGUCCAAAUGAUCUUCAAACAUGCAGAAUUGUUACAUAAUGAAAUAGAGUACUAAUUUAUUAGAAAAAACAGAGUAUUUAUUGAAUGAGGAGAAUACCCCAACAAUCAAAACGGACCAUGACUUCAGGUACAUGUAGUUGAAUUAGGAUGGAAUGAAACAGACAAGACCAAGAACAAAAGGCUUAAGGAAGAAGGAAGCAUCACCCAUGAUGGCAGAAGGCAUGAGAUAGGACGGAUUGGCAAAACAACUUAAAUUCCGCAAAAAGAAAACACAAUAAUUGUUGACCUUUUUAGAAUUUUGGCCCAGACAUCUUUUUGGAAUUAUGGAAGUGAGCAUCAGUUUCAUACAAUUUCCCACCUAGAAAAAAAAGAAGCAGUGAUCUCUAUUUUUGAAAUAGCAGAAAGAAUGUGAAAUUAAAGCAACAUAAUUGUUGUGGUGGAGUCGCUUAGGGGAUUGACUAACAUAAACUUAAGAAUCACAACUGCUAAAAUUCUGCACCUUCACCGCUAACCAAAAAAGGAGAUUUUGCUGACAAAUGCAUCCCAUUUGGAUCAAAAUCUACAUCAGAAACAACACUAAUUCAGGCACCAUGCUGCUGGCUAUCUAAACUUAAGAAUCAAAUACCACAGAGCCUUUACAAAUAACUGACCUAAAACUCCACAUAUAGCUAACAGGUUGAUGAGGGGUGAAAACAUAACAAUCAAUCCAAGAAACGACAUUCUUAACAAAAAAGACAAGCUUGAUCAAAACCACAACAUGACAAACCAUU
rnacentral:lncRNA from 1 species